rnacentral:tRNA from 1 species
GCCGGGGUGGUGGAAUGGUAGACACCGGGGACUUAAAAUCCCCUCCUCGCAAGAGGGUUCGGGUUCAAAUCCCGUCCCCGGUA